rnacentral:rRNA from 1 species
AUUGAACGCUGGCGGCAGGCCUAACACAUGCAAGUCGAGCGAGCGGCGGACGGGUGAGUAAUGUCUGGGAAAAUGCCUGUAGGAGGGGGAUAACUACUGGAACCGGUAGCUAAUACCGCAUACCAUCAGAUGUGCCCAGAUGGGAUUGGCUAGUAGGUGGGGUAACGGCUCACCUUGGCGACGAUCCCCAGCUGGUCGGAGAGGAUGACCAGCCACACUGGAAAUGGGACACGGUCCAGACUCCUACGGUAGGCAGCAGUGGGGAAUAGUGCACAAUGGGCGCAAGCCUGAUGCAGCCAUGCCGCGUGUGUGAAGAAGGCCUUCGGGUUGUAAAGCACUUUCAGCGGGGAGGCGUUACCCGCAGAAGAAGCACCGGCUAACUCUGUGCCAGCAGCCGCGGUAAUUC